UUUCCUGAUGAUGAGUGAUGUUGAACAUCUUUUCAUGUUACCUGUUGCUCUCUUGAAGCCAGCUUCUCCAGGUUAAUAUCUCUCUCCUUAUGAAGCUUUGCAGAAUCGUGGACAACAAUGAGUUCCCUGUAAUUCCCCAAACACAGGUCUAGAUAAGUCAAAUGAUUCAUCUGGGGCCACAAAACUAGUCAGAAGAGUGUCAACCAGAACAUAGGGCUCUUGACUUCCUAAUCAUCCAUCCUAUGACCCUCUCACCGUU